rnacentral:tRNA from 1 species
GUCCGCGUGGCCCAAUGGAUAAGGCGUCUGGCUACGAACCAGAAGAUUGCAGGUUCGAGUCCUGUCGUGGACG